AUUGAACGCUGGCGGCAGGCUUAACACAUGCGAGUCGAGCGGGGGAAGGUAGCUUGCUACCGGACCUAGCGGCGGACGGGUGAGUAAUGAUUAGGAAUCUGCCUAUUAGUGGGGGACAACAUCUCGAAAGGGAUGCUAAUACCGCAUACGUCCUAUGGGAGAAAGCAGGGGAUCUUCGGACCUUGCGCUAAUAGAUGAGCCUAAGUCGGAUUAGUUAGUUGGUGGGGUAAAGGCCUACCAAGGAGACGAUCUGUAGCGGGUCUGAGAGGAGGAUCCGCCACACUGGGAGUGAGACACGGCCCAGACUCCGACGGGAGGCAGCAGUGGGGAAUAUUGGACAAUGGGGGGAACCCUGAUCCAGCCAUGCCGCGUGUGUGAAGAAGGCCUUAUGGUUGUAAAGCACUUUAAGCGAGGAGGAGGCUACUUUAGUUAAUACCUAGAGAUAGUGGACGUUACUCGCAGAAUAAGCACCGGCUAACUCUGUGCCAGCCGCCGCCGUAA
rnacentral:rRNA from 1 species